rnacentral:rRNA from 1 species
CAGUAGCCACGGUAAUACGAAGGGGGCUAGCGUUGUUCGGAUUUACUGGGCGUAAAGCGCACGUAGGCGGAUCCUUAAGUCAGAGGUGAAAUCCCAAGGCUCAACCUUGGAACUGCCUUUGAUACUGGGGAUCUCGAGUUCGGGAGAGGUGAGUGGAACUGCGAGUGUAGAGGUGAAAUUCGUAGAUAUUCGCAAGAACACCAGUGGCGAAGGCGGCUCACUGGCCCGAUACUGACGCUGAGGUGCGAAAGCGUGGGGAGCAAACAGGAUUAGAUACCCGCGUAGUCCCUGUCUCUUAUAC